CCUACGGGAGGCAGCAGUGGGGAAUUUUGGACAAUGGGGGCAACCCUGAUCCAGCAAUGCCGCGUGAGUGAAGAAGGCCUUCGGGUUGUAAAGCUCUUUUGUCAGGGAAGAAAAGGCUGCGGAUAAUACCUGUGGCCGAUGACGGUACCUGAAGAAUAAGCACCGGCUAACUACGUGCCAGCAGCCGCGGUAAUACGUAGGGUGCAAGCGUUAAUCGGAAUUACUGGGCGUAAAGCGUGCGCAGGCGGUUUUGUAAGACUGUCGUGAAAUCCCCGGGCUCAACCUGGGAAUUGCGAUGGUGACUGCAAGGCUAGAGUUUGGCAGAGGGGGGUAGAAUUCCACGUGUAGCAGUGAAAUGCGUAGAGAUGUGGAGGAACACCGAUGGCGAAGGCAGCCCCCUGGGUCAAACUGACGCUCAUGCACGAAAGCGUGGGGAGCAAACAGGAUUAGAUACCCUGGUAGUCCACGCCCUAAACGAUGUCUACUAGUUGUCGGGUCUUAAUUGACUUGGUAACGCAGCUACGCGUGAGUAGACCGCCGNGGGAGGUACGGUCGGUCGAGAGUUAAACGUUAAAGUAGUUAAGUUAGUAGGCGUUGAGAGNGCGACGGACGACGACGAGGGAGGAGG
rnacentral:rRNA from 1 species